rnacentral:lncRNA from 1 species
CUUUAAUAUUCUUCCCAUAGAAGGGUGUCCAGAUUUUCCCUUUGCCUUAACUUUUUAGAAUUAUAAUUGUAUAAUGAUUUCUUUCCUAGAGAUUAUUGGCUUGAAGUACAAGCUGCUCCACGAUCUUCAUGGAGAUAGCAGUGCUCUUCAUAGUCAUCUGCAUAAUAUGCCGAUAUUAAAAGCUGAAGACGGGGAUGGAGAUGACGAUGAUGAUGAUGAUGAUGGUGACUAUGACUACGCUCCGGCUGCAUAAUCGGAAGGUUUUGGUUAUUGAAAUGUAAUCAGACUCCAGUCACUUCAUGGAAACCCUAGUUUUGGCGCAACAAACCCUAGUUUUGGGUUGUUAAAUAUAAAUGAUGUCACUAAGGUAGUAUCUGAAUUUGCAGUCUUACGUUGUACGCUUGUACUAGUAUUUUAAAGGAUAUUGCCUAUAUUUGAGGGGUUUAUAUACAGAAGUUUCUGAACAUUGCUUUUGCUUACUUGCAAUUCCCUUCCCCUCUGCUUUUUCUUGCCUUCAAACAAGAAAAAUUAACCGAGGUGUGUUGUGGGAAAGAAGAUAAGUACAUGAUAAGCAUAAUCACUACAGUUUGAUGGAUG